rnacentral:lncRNA from 1 species
AAAACAAAGAAGGUUUUCACAGAUUGGAAGAAAGAAUCUGAAUUUGGAGAUGACUUGGUCAUGCAAAAUCUUUCAACAAGGAUAUUGUGAUCACUUCUAGGUCACAAAUUACAGUCAGCCUACCAGCAUCAUCCUCCCUUCUUCUUCCGGGAAAGAACCAGCACUCAAUGAAGGCACAAUGGCAUCAUGUUGUAUUUGGGAAUUAUUCUGCUUUUCUUUAGUAGUUGUGAUAAUCUCAUACCUUAGAUGUAUGUUUUUUACAUAAAAACAUUCCUGGAUACACAAGCCUGUAUAUUCUGUCUUCCCUGCAUUUAUUCUGCUUAGCCCUUCUGUUCUCCUUGCUGUUCCUUGAAUUCACUGAACACAUUCCCACUUUAGCACCAUCUGCUCUUCUACUGCUUAGGACUUUCUCUCUCCGCGUACUGAUGCUUCAUCUCAGUUCUCUGCUCAUUUGAUGCUAGUCAGAGAGGUCUUCCUGACUACCCUGUGUAUGUAGAGAGGAGUAUGGCACUUCUAUGUCACUUUUCCCUUUAUUUUUCUUUACAGCACCUAUCACUAACUGACAAGUUAUACAUGUGCAUACUUACACACAUGCAUAUACAUCUUGUAUUAGAGAUUGAGUAUCCCUUAUCUGAAAUGCUUGGGACCAGAAGUGUUUAAGAUUUUGGAUUUUUUGGAUUUUGGAAUAUUUGCACAUAUGUUGGGGAUGGAACCCAAGUCUAAACAUGAAAUUUGUUUACAUUUUAUAUAUACCUUAUACACAUGGCCUUAAGUUAAUUUUAUACAUGUUUUAAAAUAAUUUUGUGCAUGAAACAAAGUUUGUGUUAAGUAUUUAUGUGUGGAAUUUACCACUUGUGGUGCCAUGUUGGCACUUAAAAUAUUUUGGAUUUUGGAUUUUCAGAUUAGGGACUCAACCUGCAUUGCUUGUUUCCCACACUAGAACAAGGACUUUGUUCACUGCUGUGUCUUCCAUAUCUAGAAGAAGCCUGGGACAUCUGACAUAAAGUAGACAGUGUUUGGGUAACAGUAUUUGUUGGGUGAAUGGAAGAAUAUUGGUUUGGAUUAAAUGAAUGCUUGGUUAAACUAUGUGAACACUUUUACUUGAAUCUCCAAUGAUGUAAGUUAAUAUUAGGGAAAACUAUUCCUUCUUGUCUUCUAUCACCUUGCAUUUCAUGUAUCUUUAAAUAAUAACUGAUAUAGGUAUAAUACCAUAGUUUGCAUAUCACUUGUUUAUUUAAUAUUUGAUAUUGAAAACUCUUAGCACUUAUGUGAGAUUGAUGUUUUUACUCCCAUUAUAUUUAUUAGUAAAAAGAUAAUGUUAAGAAAUUACUGGACAUAUUUAUACUUACUUGCAUUUUCUGUGUGUUUUCUCUAGUAUAUAGUUAGACUGAUUUAUAGAUUUCUACUAUUGAUAGAAUUCAUGCUUUUCUGAUUGACCAAAGGGGAAAUCCUUCCUAUGUAAAACCUUUCAUGAUCUUCCUCCAAAUAUAGAAUUGACUGCUUUCUCUUU